rnacentral:ncRNA from 2 species
CUCUGGAGAGAGAAACCAAUAAGCGUCAGGGAGAAGGCGCAUAAAGGUUUCCACCGAAGGAUGAACGCCAUUUGGCCGAUCUUGAUCGGGCACUGACGGAUAAUCUCAGGUCAAGGGACAGAG